UCCUAGCCCUGAUGGGAGGGAAAAUCCUUUUGUUCCGGUCCCGAGGCUUCGGGAGCCACAAAAGAUUGGGAAGGACAGCAGGAAUAGCU
rnacentral:sRNA from 1 species